GGUUGUAGCCCAGUGGUAGAGCACUUGCUUGCCUUGCAUGCAUGAGGCCCUGGGUUCUAUCCUCAGCACCA
rnacentral:tRNA from 1 species